GGAUUCCAUGCUAUUCUUGUCAAGUGAGCAGUUUUUUGCAGAUUAGCCUUUGUUUCGUUGUCUGUUCGACCUUGAACAUAUGGUCUAUAAUCCAUAUGGGAACCCUAGUUUGUCACAACUUCUUUGCAUAAAAUAACCCAAUAUGAGUGAACUCUUAUUACUGUUGAUGCCGAUCAACUCUGGUUACAAUCCGAUAUAAUCCAGUUCCUGCUAUUAUUGAUCUCGAUGAUCAACAUGGAUCCCAAAACAAGUCACCUAUUAGCAUCGGUGCCAGUCCACUUCUGUUAGUUUUGGUCUGCCUUUGUCGUGUUCUUCUCUGCUCUCUUCCUUUCUCUUCAUGAAUUAAUAGCCAUGCUGAUAUUUCUUAUCUCAUUAGAUAUGCUGCGUAAUGGUCAAAGUGCAGUAAUAAAUUUUAUGCGCAUGUGUCGGUUUGUGUGUGCAUAUGUAUAUGUGUACAUCCUUUGAGUUUUGUUUACUAAUUUGAAAGCAAACAAUAAGAUAUAGGAUAAAAGAUUGUGGUUUUCUAUAGAUAUCAAUUUCAGCUUUGCACGAAGCUUGCUGGUGCAAUGAAAGUAUUACUUAGAAAAAGAAAAGAGAAUACUAGAUGAUCUAGUUUGGGUACAGGCUAUAUAGUAGAGGGAUUUCCAAGGUGUUUUCAGCCUUUGGGAUCUUACGUCUAUCAUCAUCUCAUCAAGUUCAUUGAUAUUGAUUUAGAUCUAUUUAUUUUAAGCCGUAUUCUUUUAUCAUGUUAAUCUAUUUUGGCAUUAAUGGAAAUAGUAAUUGGACCAAGUGGAGUUUCGCUUUUAAUAUGAUCAUAGUACUGCAGCUAUGUAUGAUCGAGAAAAGUUGCUGUGGGAGUUCUGGGUUUUGAUAUGGAUCUGGGUAUAGACUGCAGAUUAGGGAUAUACUACAAGAAAGGGAAGCUCACAUAUGGAAGAUGGUUUUUUAAGAUUGGAAAUAAUGAUCUUGUUUUCAAUUUCUCUCAUUCUUAUACAUAGAAUCCAAAGGAUCCUAGCUAGCAAGAGCCUCUUCAUAGGCAAGGGGAGGACAUUAGAGAGAUACUAUGAAGGUUUGAGCGAAAUUAAAGUAAUUGUGAUUGCUCAGGGGUAAUACAAGAAGUGACCUUGUGCAUAGAUCUUAGCUACAUAUUAGGUGUUUGAAAAGAUAUAGGUUACCAAGAUACAACUAUUGUAGCUGUAAGUUCUGAAUGAAUCUUUACAUGAUAGAAGUCUCUUGAUCAGGAUUAACUCAAUAUGAUAAAUAUAAGUAGAGUACCUAUUUCAUUUGUUACUUGGGCCAUUCUCUUCAAAAUCUCUCAUACCACUACGAACAAUUGAAAGAGUAAGAAGUAAGAACCGACGGGUGUUCUCUCUGUGCAUGGUGCAUUUAUGGGAAAGCCAUAGAUCUUUUCAACCAAUCUGUGUUUUCACAAUAAAAGUUCGAAUUUUUGGUAGAUGAAAAGUUCGGAGCACGGAAAUACGUAUUAAUAACAAAAUUUAUUCUUCUGCAAUCCCGAUCCCCCAAAAAAGCCAUAUACCCGAAAACUGUGAAUAAGGUCAAAAUAUCAUUUGGAAGUUUAGAUGAGUUUUGUGAAACCACCCCCAUGUUGUAACCGCUAGAACUAAUGCCUAUUUUCUUUAGAAGUACUGUAUCUGGUGGACACGAAGUCCCCAUUAAUUACCCCAACUUUCCAUGUAUCUGUUGAAAGUGGGAAAAUGGUGUUAUGUACUUUAUACAAGGCUAUAUUGUCUGUCUUACUUUCAUUGCAUAUUAUUUUAUUAACCUACUGAAGUAGUGAUCCCCUUAAUGAUUAGGGCAAGUUAGGGCUUUUCUCAGUUUCCUUUCUGAAGUUAGGACAAGUUCCUAUAUCGGCUCUUGAUAUUAAGGUUCUUGUCCUAGUUCCUGUUUAGGGGCCUUCUGUAGGUCAGUGUUUCUUUUAUGCUAAGCGGACCCUCAGGCCUUUGGCAGUGUUAGGAAGAUUGACGACCAUACAACUCAUUGCCCUUUUUUUUUUCCUAUCGCAAUCAUAAAUUUUUGUAUUCUUGUAGGAUAUCAUUUAAUUUUCUUAGAAGUGUAUGAGCUCAUUUGGAAUGUAAAGGCUCAAAUCAGCUGGUGGUAAGGUUUGAAUAGGGAUGACACUUGGCGGGAGGAACUUGACCCCCAACUCAGAGACCUGAAAAAGUAAGGGGCAUGGGCCGGGGGUCCUUAAGAGUUGGGACUGCGACUGGGUUGAAAAAUCAUGCUCUGCGAAAGGUCAACAGUGGAGUUCUCAAGCCUUAUUUGGAUUCUAUGAGCUCCUACUUCAAAGGGUUCAUUUUCAUUCAGUGGCCAACGAGUCUCAAGAUAGAAUUGAACCCAACCCUGACUAUCUCUCUGCUAAUUAAUUAUCCGCGUGUAACUUUACUAGUUAUUGUAGUUAUGAACGUACAUAGAGAUAAAAAUGGAGUUCCCUAUUGGUUUCAAAUGUCUAUAACAUGACAUUCAUUAGAUGAGAUAUUUUCUGCAUUUAAAUUGGUCACAUAGGAAUUUUAAUUAUGUUUGUUGGUCUUGGUAUUGUGUCAAGCUCUUCCUUACUCUAAACUUCCAAGUUGCAUGGAUGUGUAUGCUCAUUGAAUAGUGAAUAGUAGAUAAAAGUCUACUAUUUCAUGCCCUCUAACCCCAAUGUCUAACACCAACACCACUACCUAACAAAUGCGGCCUAACAACCACUUGGUUGAGCGGCAUGGCUCAAAGAAUGGUAGAGGGUACGUUAGGUGGGGUCAUAGGCAGAUAUGUUAAGCCAUUUGGGUCACCCCAGAGUGCAAGAUUUCGAAGAUAGGAAAAGCCAAUUUGGAGAAGGUCGUACUGGCAAUGAACGUAAGGUGUUAGCAAAGGACUGUCCUCUUGACAAGGCUUUGCACGGAAAUCAACACCCUUUCCCUUCAGCUUCAAGAUUCAAUGCUCACAAAGGAAGUGGUCCUCUCCUCUCUACUCAGAAAUACAAAGAGGUAGGUACCCUUCUUCCCUUCUCUCUUCCUUAUAACAUUUUUUCUUUGGCAAAAUAGAUGGCUCAGGUGGGAGGUUGGGUCCUGGUAAUAAGUCAGAAACAGCCAGCCUAUUUACCGUCAUCGCCACAACUUUCGGCUUGAUUACUGAGAGCACAGAUGGUAAUAUGCAGUGCUGGCAUGAGCAAUGGCUGAACAUGGGUGCCAUGAUAAUUGCAAAGGAAGCUCAAUUAAUGUGUUGAUGUGUUAUUAGAGAAGUCCUAUUUUCACCCAAGGCAGCAAUCAUAAUCAUGGUGCUGGGAAGGGAGCAAGUCACGUAAUUCCAAGUGUCGAGGAGUGGGAAAGUCAGUGAACUUUAGCAGGAGACAGCGGAGGUUUUAUUGGUGCGAGUUGUUUAGCCCCUUUCACAUGGACCCUGGAAAAUGACUUCAAGUUUAUCAACAAACUGUAACAAAUUCUCUCCACUUGUUGCAAUACCCCGAUCCCUUAUCAAUUACAGUUUCCAACAUGAUGCAAUGCACGAUGCUAUAUACUGUCAUUUUAACAAAUUGAAUGUAAAGUUGUCGUUAUUGUUCCUUGAAAUGAUAGAUGAAUGCCCCAGAUCAGAUGGUGAUGUUAUCAGCGCGAUAAUUGGCCGGGGAUAUGCAAGGAUGUCGAUGAUUGUGGAGCAGGCCUGGACGCCACGAAAAUGGUUUCAAAGAAUACAAGAACCAAUUUUGCAGACGAAUGUUGACCUAGAGCUUUUCUUCAAAUUCCUGAAAUAUUGGCUAGGAGUCCAUUCAUGUUAUAUAUAUGGGCUACAGAACUAUAGAGGGAUGCUUCUAAUCAAAUCAUUUGGAUCAAGUGAUAUUUAUGGUUGGGAAGGCGAUAUUUCAUCUUUUAGAUCAAGUUGAAUUUCCUGGUACAAUGUUAUAUAUUCUUUAGGCACUUGACCAUACAUACAUUUAACAAUUUGUUAUUUUUACUUAUAAAAAGACAAAGAAAUGAAAUCGAAUGGACUUCUGGAUGGGUUAUAA